rnacentral:rRNA from 1 species
AUACGUAGGGUGCGAGCGUUGUCCGGAAUUACUGGGCGUAAAGAGCUCGUAGGUGGUUUGUCGCGUCGUCUGUGAAAUUCCGGGGCUUAACUCCGGGCGUGCAGGCGAUACGGGCAUAACUUGAGUACUGUAGGGGAGACUGGAAUUCCUGGUGUAGCGGUGAAAUGCGCAGAUAUCAGGAGGAACACCGGUGGCGAAGGCGGGUCUAUGGGCAGUACCUGACGCUGAGGAGCGAAAGCAUGGGUAGCGAACAGGAUUAGAUACCCUGGUAGUCCAUGCCGUAAACGGUGGGCGCUAGGUGUAGGGGUCUUCCACGACUUCUGUGCCGUAGCUAACGCAUUAAGCGCCCCGCCUGGGGAGUACGGCCGCAAGGCUAAAACUCAAAGGAAUUGACGGGG